rnacentral:rRNA from 1 species
CGCGGCCUAUCAGCUUGUUGGUGAGGUAACGGCUCACCAAGGCGACGACGGGUAGCCGGCCUGAGAGGGCGACCGGCCACACUGGGACUGAGAUACGGCCCAGACUCCUACGGGAGGCAGCAGUGGGGAAUAUUGCGCAAUGGGCGAAAGCCUGACGCAGCAACGCCGCGUGCGGGAUGACGGCCUUCGGGUUGUAAACCGCUUUCAGCAGGGACGAAGGGUUACCUUGACGGUACCUGCAGAAGAAGCACCGGCUAACUACGUGCCAGCAGCCGCGGUGAUACGUAGGGUGCGAGCGUUGUCCGGAAUUAUUGGGCGUAAAGAGCUUGUAGGCGGUCUGUUGCGUCGGAAGUGAAAACUCAGGGCUUAACCCUGAGCCUGCUUUCGAUACGGGCAGACUUGAGGGAUGUAGGGGAGAACGGAAUUCCUGGUGGAGCGGUGGAAUGCGCAGAUAUCAGGAGGAACACCAGUGGCGAAGGCGGUUCUCUGGACAUUUCCUGACGCUGAGAAGCGAAAGCGUGGGGAGCAAACAGGCUUAGAUACCCUGGUAGUCCACGCCGUAAACGGUGGGCACUAGGUGUGGGACCCAUUCCACGGGUUCCGUGCCGAAGCUAACGCAUUAAGUGCCCCGCCUGGGGAGUACGG